rnacentral:rRNA from 1 species
GUCUAAUGUGAAAUCCGCGGGCUCAUCAUCUGGGCCUGCAGUGGGUACGGGCAGACUAGAGUACUGUAGGGAGAUUGUAUUCCUGGUGUAGCGGUGGAAUGCGCAGAUGAUCAGGAGGAACAGCGAUGGUGAAGGGCAGAUCUGUAGGCCGCAACUGACGCUGAGGAGCGAAAGGGUGGGGAGCAGACAGGCUUAGAUACCCUGGUAGUGCGCCCCCGUAGACGUUGUGACCUAGUUGUGGGGACCAUUACACGGUAUCCGUGAUGCAGCUAACGCAUUAAGUUUCCCCGCCUGGGGAGUACGGCCGCAAGGCUAACACUCAAAGGAAUUGACGGGGACCCGCACAAGCGGCGGAGCAUGCGGAUUAAUUCGAUGCAACGCGAAGAACCUUACCAAGACUUGACAUACACCAGAACACCGUAGAAAUACGGGACUCUUUGGACACUGGUGAACAGGUGGUGCAUCGUGGUCGUCAGCUCGUGUCGUGAGAUGUUGGGUUAAGUCCCGCAACGAGCGCAACCCUCGUUGUAUGUUGCCAGCACGUAAUGGUGGGAACUCAUGGGAUCCUGCCGGGGUCAACUCGGAGGAAGGUGGGGAUGACGUCAAAUCAUCAUGCCCCUUAUGUCUUGGGCUUCACGCAUGCUACAAUGGCCGGUACAAAGGGCUGCAAUACCGUGAGGUGGAGCGAAUCCCAAAAAACCGGUCUCACUUCGGAUUGAGGUCUGCAACUCGACCUCAUGAAGUCGUAGUCGCUAUUAUUCGCAGAUCAGCACCGAUGCCGCGAAUAAUUUUUUUGGUCUUUUACUCCCCCCCCCUCAAGUCCAAAAAAUUUUUUUAUUUUUUGCCGGCUCCCAACUCGAUCAACAACCUAUAU